GGUGAGGUGUUCGCUGCCUCUUGCCCGAGGGAGAGCCCCGCGCCCGCCGCCCUCCGUGAGCGCAGCCGCUUAAACAGCGCGCGGGCAGUGAAAUGGCUCCCAAAAACUGGGUUCGUGGGAUUCGACGGAAAACACUACCGAGAGGCCGCUCCGGGGGGAUUCCUUGGGCGAGAGAGGGAAAGGCUGACGGCGGGCCGAGCGGGGUAUGAGAUGACAUAAAGGCAGUCAGUGAGGGGGCUUUCAUCCCAGGAAAUUUCACUGGGUCUCAUUUUUGAAGCUGCUGGGCAGCGAGUGGUUUCUGCGCCAAGCUCUGAGCACCCGGAGGGCUCCUCACAUCAGGGGACCCAACCAGAGCCACGAUGGCUCGCAAAUUUGCAUCCUCAGCUCGCCUCGCAGGAAAAAGAAGAGCCCUAUGAGGUGCUAAGAAAUCACUUUGCUAGGUAGUUGGCUGGUGGAUGGAUGGAUGGAUGGAUGGAUGGAUGGAUGGAUGGAUGGAUGGAUGGAUGGAUGGAUGGAUGGAUAUACUGAUGGAUAAAGCAGCCUGUUGUGUCAAUGCUACUUCCUUCUGUUCUCUUUCUUUCUUCCUCUUCCCCGGGAAAUAUAUGGAGGCUCCCUUUGGACAUCUCAGGGUGCGCUGAUACCUGCUCACUGCUGCAUUAGAAAAAGUGCCCAAAGUCCCCAUGGGUGACACCCCCUCCCAGCUGUUGGCCAAGACAGGACAAAAUUAAUGCAAGCAACUGCAAGUCUUCAAAAUUUACAAGAGAAUGUAAAAAAAUGUCUGGUUUGUUUCAUUUUUGUUCCUUGCUUUCUUGAUUUGCACCUGAAACUUGAAUUUUGGGGGCUUUUUUCAACAACACUCAGGGUACUGGUUUAUUUUUCUUUUUGUUAAAAAACUGAAUUGUACUGGGUUAUUCAAGUGGGAGAAGCUUCAUGAUCAGCUACUGGCUGCCAGCAACACUAACCAACCUCCUUUGUAUUCUCUCAGUUAAAAGCUGGCUGACCGGGCACUUCGGCUCAGGCAUGACCUACUUAAUGGAGGAUUCACAAGAGAAUUGCUAGUUCUGGAUGACAUGAACAUAAAUAGCAUUUGCAGGAACAAUGGUGAGGAAGAGAUGGUGAGGCCAUGUACUUCAGCAACCAUGAGCCAGCACAUUGGGAAACUCUAUAGAUCUGCAGUCUCUUCAUUCAUCUUCUUCUUGGUGGUGGGUGAGUACUAAACCACCUUCCUUAAUUAGAAGAAAUACAGGUUGUUCUUGGAAGCUUGGCUUGAGAAGUUCUCUUUAUUUUCAAAGUAUGACUUUCAACUGAGGACUUCCUCAGGGUGCAGGGAAAUUGUAUUUAGUGUUGUGCAUUGUAUUAAAACAUACUUUUCUCUUUAGAUACAUUCCUGUUUAUCUAAUAUAAAUGUUCUGAAAGAGCGUAUUUGCCUAUCUUUUCCCAGAUGUGUCUCAUCAUUCCUAGAAGCUUCAUUUCUAUUUUGUUUCUCUGAUAUAUUAGCCACCGGUUACUGUCACAAGGUAGUUAUUCAUAUCCAUUUGUGAGAGCCAACCUCAGCCCAGGGCAAAAGUCAUAUAAAUUAAAAGCAGCAAUGUGCAGUCAUUGAACACUUAAUCAGAGAUGUCUGGGACCUGGAUACAGCUUGUAAAGCACCUUCAUAGCACCAGCAUGGUAUGAGUGUGAAGCUGAGAUCUAAAGCAAACAAAACCAUCUGAAAGACAGUUAUUUCAUCAGGAGAGGGUUUGUUUUUUUUUUUUGUGGUUUGGAAAUUGAGCCCUAUUUGCCUAAACUGGAAGGGUAAAAUUCUGCACUGACCUCCACACACUGUUUUGGUUCCCCCAUGCUGUUGGCAGCUGGCAGAAGAAGCUUGCAGGGCUGCUCAGAUUUACCACAGGCACCAAAGACUUAAGUGAGGCUCCAGGACAGGAAGAGAGUGCAGCUGUAUUUUAUUCUUUCCUUUUGUCACCCCAGCUCCUCUAGCCUGCCUUGCAUAUUUCUCACUUACAGGUCUGAUAUGGCCUUAUAUGGGGAAGUAUCAACCUGCAGAUUACAUAAAGGGAAGGCUGAGGGCUUUAGUAGGUGCCUUAUUAGUACUGCCAAAUGUGGAGCACAUUGCCACAUUGCAGGGAGUCCCUGAGAGCUUUCUCCCCUCAUGGCUGAAAACUGGAUGUGAACUAAGGAUUUCAUAUGGCAAUGACCUGUUAGAUCAUCUAAUCGUUUGUCCAGGUCUAGACAAGAUCAUCCAUGCUGUAUUUCUCUGUACCCUGUCUAGCUCAAGUGCUUUCACCACAAAGCCUUGCAUUCCUCUCCAUGGGCUUGAGCCCCCAGCCGGCAUGACAAGGGAACUACGCAUCACUCUGCUAAUGAAGCAAUUGACUUUAAAAGACCUUUGAAGCAGAGUCAGCAAAGCAUUUGGCAUGGUAUACUCCCAGAUGCCAAAACGAUAAGGGCAUUGUGUAAUUGAAUAUCUCUGAACUAAUAUGUUCCAGUUUUGCAACCUUGAAAAAGAAAAAGAAAGAAAAGAAAGGGAGAAAAAUAGAGGCAGUGCUGUGACCUUCUCAGUGAAACCCCCCAAAGAGAGCUGGGACAAAACAAGACAGCCUACUUCUCUCCUGUUUUAAUUUUCCUAAUUAAGUUACAUUAUUUGUAUUGAAUAAAGGAUGUGGAAAUAAAACAGAUGACAAGGCCAGUUAUUUCAUGACAGGAGAUGUGUAUAAAACAAUGAACAGAGGCAACACCAAAGCACGUUGUUUCUACUCAGUUACAUUCUCUAUGCCACUGUCUGUGUAAAAAGUAUAUCUUUUGCAUCACUAAAAGAAGUAAAAAUUACAGUUGUGUUACAGAGGUGCAUAUGGAAAGGCUGGAAUACUUGUAGCAAAGGAGACAUUUUGUGGCCAUUCUUUGAAAACAAGGUAGCAGUAGCAUACACUAGCUAAAG